rnacentral:RNase_P_RNA from 1 species
GCAGAUGGCUGGAGGAGUGCUGGGGAAACCCAGAGGAAAGUCCGGGCUCUAUAAAGACACGGUGCCGGAUAACGUCCGGCGGGGGUGACCUUAGGGAAAGUGCAACAGAAAGUAAACCGCCUGGAAACAGGUAAGGGUGAAAGGGUGCGGUAAGAGCGCACCGCGCCUUUGGUAACAAAGGUGGCACGGCAAACCCCACCGAGAGCAAGACCAAAUAGGGAUGAUACAUGGCCUGUCUUUAGGUCAUCAUCCGGGUCGGUCGCACGAGGCGUCAGGUAACUGGCGUCCCAGAUGAAUACUUCUCCCCUGUUUGACAGGGACAAAACCCGGCUUAUAGGCCGUCUGCUUUU